CCUACGGGUGGCAGCAGUGAGGAAUAUUGGUCAAUGGACGAGAGUCUGAACCAGCCAAGUAGCGUGAAGGAUGACUGCCCUAUGGGUUGUAAACUUCUUUUAUAUGGGAAUAAAAUGUUCCACGUGUGGGAUUUUGUAUGUACCAUAUGAAUACGGAUCGGCUAACUCCGUGCCAGCAGCCGCGGUAAUACGGAGGAUCCGAGCGUUAUCCGGAUUUAUUGGGUUUAAAGGGAGCGUAGGUGGAUUGUUAAGUCAGUUGUGAAAGUUUGCGGCGCAACCGUAAAAUUGCAGUUGAAACUGGCAGUCUUGAGUACAGUAGAGGGGGGCGGAAUUCGUGGUGUAGCGGUGAAAUGCUUAGAUAUCACGAAGAACUCCGAUUGCGAAGGCAGUUCACUGGACUGCAACUGACACUGAGGCUCGAAAGUGUGGGUAUCAAACAGGAUUAGAUACCCCAGUAGUC
rnacentral:rRNA from 1 species